rnacentral:rRNA from 1 species
GAGUUUGAUCGUGGCUCAGAUUGAACGCUGGCGGCAUGCCUAACACAUGCAAGUCGAACGGCAGCACGGCAGUAGCAAUACUGUGGGUGGCGAGUGGCGGACGGGUGAGGAAUACGUCGGAAUCUGCCCAGUCGCGGGGGAUAACUAGCCGAAAGGUUAGCUAAUACCGCAUACGACCGAGAGGUGAAAGCGGGGGACCGCAAGGCCUCGCGCGAUUGGAUGAGCCGACGUCGGAUUAGCUAGUUGGCGGGGUAAAGGCCCACCAAGGCGACGAUCCGUAGCUGGUCUGAGAGGAUGAUCAGCCACACUGGAACUGAGACACGGUCCAGACUCCUACGGGAGGCAGCAGUGGGGAAUAUUGGACAAUGGGCGCAAGCCUGAUCCAGCAAUGCCGCGUGUGUGAAGAAGGCCUCGGUUGUAAG